GAUGAACGCUAGCGGCAGGCUUAAUACAUGCAAGUCGAGGGGCAUCAAGGUACACGAAAGUGUAUUGUUGGCGACCGGCGGACGGGUGAGUAAUAGGUAGGUAACCUACCUCAUACUGAGGCAUAGCUGGGAGAAAUUCCAGGUAAUUCCUCAUGAGGUUAUAUGACACAUGUGAUAUAAUCAAAGGUAUCGCAAGGUACUGGUAUGAGAUGGGCUUACUGACCAUUAGCUAGUUGGUGAGGAUAAGAGCUCACCAAGGCGAAGAUGGUUAGGGGUUUUGAGAGAGAGAUCCCCCACAUUGGAACUGAGAUACGGUCCAGACUCCUACGGGAGGCAGCAGUAGGGAAUAUUGGGCAAUGGGCGGAAGCCUGACCCAGCCAUGCCGCGUGAAGGAAGACGGCCUUAUGGGUUGUAAACUGCUUUUGUACGGAACGAAAAGACUCUUUCUAAUAAAGAGGGUCCAUGACGGUACCGUAAGAAUAAGCAACCGGCUAACUACGUG
rnacentral:rRNA from 1 species